rnacentral:rRNA from 1 species
GACGAACGCUGGCGGCGUGCUUAACACAUGCAAGUCGAACGGUGAAGCGCCUUCCUUUUUGGUGGGUGUGGAUGAGUGGCGAACGGGUGAGUAACACGUGAGUAACCUGCCCCCUUCUUCUGGAUAACCGCUUGAAAGUGUGGCUAAUACGGGAUAUUCUGGGUCUGUCGCAUGAUGGGUCUGGGAAAGAUAUUGUUUCGGUGGGGGAUGGGCUCGCGGCCUAUCAGCUUGUUGGUGGGGUGAUGGCCUACCAAGGCGGUGACGGGUAGCCGGCCUGGGAGGGUGGACGGGCACACUGGAACUGAGACACGGCCAAGCCUCCUACGGGAGGCAGCAGUGGGGAAUAUUGGACACUGGGGGCGAGCAUGAUGCAGCGACGCCGCGUGAGGGAUGGAGGCCUUCGGGUUGUGAACCUCUUGCGCCAGUGAAGCAGGCCUGCCUCGUUUGUGGGUGGGUUGACGGUAGCUGGAUAAGAAGCGCCGGCUAACUACGUG